GUCUGGCAAGGAUAGCGCACUCAGGUCAGGUAAGCAGGAGGCUGGGGCUGGAAGACUCCCAGAAAAGACCAGAGUUGGCUGGGCUACAGUGGCACACUGAGCCCCGGGGAAGGUGAGACUAUGGCAUUACUCAGCCUUGCUCGGUGAAGAAAGCUCUAUUCUUCUCUCUUGGCCUCUGGCUUGAGGUUAGUGGUAGUGACAUAAGGCUCAAAUUCAGGCAUGUGGGUAUGAAGAUGCCUAAAAGAGGGGGGGGAAAUUGGAGUGAAGAAUUGACUCAAGAAUCAUAGCUCAGAGAAUUCAUUUCGGUUUUCUCCCAAAUCUUCUGGCUGCAUAUUCUUCUAAAGGGGCUCAUGUCAAACUGAAAGAGAAAGUAAAUCAGGCAAGGAAACCUCUGUGGUUUUUUCCUUUUUACUACAAUAACACUCAAAUGGAUUCCAUCUGGUCUACCAUUUGUGCACCUGUUCCCAGUUCCCUCCAUUCCGUUGACUCUUUGUGACCCCAUGGACUGCAGCACACCAGGCUUCCCUGUCCUUCACCAUCUCCUGGAACUUGGUCUAACUCGUAUCCAUUGAGUAGGUGAUGCCAUCCAACCAUCUUGUCCUCUGCUGUCCCUUUCUUCUCCUUCAAAGUUUCCCAGCAUCAGGGUCUUUUCUAAUGAGUUGGCUCUUCGCAUCCGAUGGCCAAAGCAUUCUACUUUCUAGGAUGUGUCAUCCUCUUUCCUUCUGCUUUGCCUUUUACCUUAUUUUCGCUCCUCUAGUCCAGUCCAGGGACCCCUCUCAUGUUUCUCAGAAUCCUCUGUUGAUGGCAGCAGUUUUAAAUUCUGAUUUUCUGAAGGAAAACAUUUAUCUUUAAGAUUUUGGGAGGAGGGAUGGCUUGAGUGUUGGUGGUGGUAAAGAGAUAAAUACUAAAGAGCAGAAUGUGAAAUACAAUAGUAUUUGAGCAGAUUUUAAGUUCCAUUUCCCAGUCCCCUACUUGGGUUUUCUUCUAUUCUCUUAUUUUAUCAUUGAAAAGCUAGGCAAUCUUCUCAGUCCCUCAUUUCAGAUCAGCAAAAGGUUUAUUUUUCCAAAAAUAACAGCAGGAGACAAAUGUAUGUAUUUGGUACAAAUAUGGAGAGGUAUUUUGAUCACAUCUGAUAAAAAUUACCCCUGAACAACAGAAAUGAAAAUGGAAAAAUGUCCAAAUUUUGACAGAUGUUAGAAUCCAGGAUAAUCUCUAAAAGAUUUAAAUAUAUGAAGAAACAGUGCAAAUGAUAGUCUUCCAUACAUAUACAGAAAUCCCAUUUUCAUAAGGAGUUGAUGUUAGUUUGAGCCCAUUCCAUCUACAGUUUUCCAAGACUGUAAAAUUAGAGCUCUUGAACAUUGAACUUGUAGCAUAAAUGUUUCUUAUAGGGUUAUAUUUAAAAUAAGAUGACAAGACGAAGUAUGAGAACAUAAUUCUGAGAAGGCAUUUAGCUUAGGAAACCAGAAAUUGUACACCAGUAGAGAAAAAGUGCUCUUGCCUGGAAAAUCCCAUGGACGGAGGAGCCUGGUAGGCUGCAGUCCGUGGGGUUGCUAAGAU